rnacentral:rRNA from 1 species
UGGGGAAUUUUGGACAAUGGGCGAAAGCCUGAUCCAGCCAUGCCGCGUGAGUGAAGAAGGCCUUCGGGUUGUAAAGCUCUUUCAGGUGGAAAGAAAACGCAUAGGUUAAUACCUUGUGCGGAUGACGGUACCAUCAGAAGAAGCCCCGGCUAACUUCGUGCCAGCAGCCGCGGUAAUACGAAGGGGGCUAGCGUUGCUCGGAGUUACUGGGCGUAAAGGGAGCGUAGGCGGACAUUUAAGUCAGGGGUGAAAUCCCGGGGCUCAGCCUGGGAACUGCGUUUGUGACUGCAUAACUAGAGUACGGCAGAGGGAGGUGGAAUUCCGCGUGUAGCAGUGAAAUGCGUAGAGAUGCGGAGGAACACCGAUGGCGAAGGCAGCCUCCUGGGCCAGUACUGACGCUCAUGCACGAAAGCGUGGGGAGCAAACA